rnacentral:rRNA from 1 species
AUGGCUGGACUCCCUAUAGUUGAUGAUUGCUUCAUUCAAACAACAUUUGUUGCGUGUGCAGCAGCGGAUGAAGCAUUAGGCAGACAAGAAACAGUGUUAGCUGUCAAUGAUCUAGUGUUUCUUAAACUGCAACCAUAUGUGCAAUCAUCAGUUGUCAAAAGAGCCAACCAUAAGCUCUCAUUCAAGUAUUUUGGUCCUUACAAGAUAAUCGACAAAAUUGGAGAUAUUGCAUAUUGA